rnacentral:tRNA from 1 species
UGCCGGAACCCGGGAUCGAACCAGGGACCUUUAGAUCUUCGGUCUAACGCUCCCUCAACUGAGCUAUUUCGGU